GAGGGUGUAGCUCAGUUGGGUAGAGUGCUUGCCUCAGAUGCUCUGGGUUCAAUCCCCAACAUCAUCA
rnacentral:tRNA from 1 species